CACACUCCUAGCUCCAUUCAAACAACUGACUUGAGAGAUAAGCUCAUCAACUGCGUCUGCAGCAGACGUGAUAUCCUCUGUCAUGGCAUUGAAACGCCUGCUCAACAAAACUGCCAACACAGACCAUGGGGUUAAAACUUGUAAAAGUACUCUACUAAAGGCUGUGAACAAGCGAUUCGGUGGCAUUCUCUCUGAGCUUCUUUACUGUGUCGCCACCAUGCUCGAUGCUAGGUACAAGGACCCCUACUUCGAUGCAGACAAGAAACAGGGUUUACGUGAAAUGUUACAGACACAGCUGGACAAGAUGGAAAUGGACACAGUGACAGUGCGCACCGACGAAGAGGACCCACGACAGAAGAGGCCAUGGACAGACAGAGUUGAAACUUCACUGCUUGACAUGUAUAAUGAAAUCCUGGUUGAGAAUGAAAUGACUGAACAAAUGAACAACGAAACAGCAUAGCAACCCAGAAGCGUGACGUUCUUGAAAACAUACCUAAAGCUUCAAGGUCUAUCCAAGUGGGGGAGAAAUAGGCAAGGCUGCCGAUGUCUUAAAGAAGCAGGGAGUCAGUCUGGAAUGUAUGCAUGGAUGACUAGUCUGAAGUUCAAGAUGGGGUAAUAUCGGAACAAGUUGAGCAGAGCUGGAAUUCCUGAGGUCUCUGUGAAUGCAGGGAAGAGGAGCAGAAACAACCCAGAGAGAUAGUCACCCCGCUCAAACAUCAAGAGACCCAGGUGAGCUGAGGUAAACUUCCUGCCAUGCUUCCUGACGCAGACGACUUUUCCCCUUUCGACAAAAUGAGAUCGUCAAUGAUGGACCGCCAGGGAAAGGGUUCCUCGAGAACUGGCCAGCCCUUCACCUGGACUCUCAGUUUGUCUUGUUUGCCAAGUCAACCAGCAUUUUUCUCUCAGCUCCUGUUUUUGACCCUUGCCUGUCCUGAAUCUGAGCCCGCCUGCCUGACCACUCUGCCUGCCUGCCGCCCUGUAAUGUUUUGGACUCUGCCCUGGCUAUGAACUCUUGCCUGUCUCGACCUGCCUUUUGUCUAUCCCUUGGACUAUAAUAAAUAUCAGAGCUCAAACCAUCUGCCUCCUGUGUCUGCAUCUGGGUCUCGCCUUGUGUCGUUAUUCAUAAAAGCGUUUCCACUGACAUUUCUAAAAUAAUUAAUUUUACAGAGACAAAAAUAUCCCACCUUGUCUUUACUCGUAUAAAAAGGUUAGAUGGAAACCUGGUUAGUGUCACAGUUGGUUAUUGUGUUGGGGGAAGGCAUUUUGUAAUGUUGAAUACACAGGCAUAGGAAUAUUAAAGUCUGGUUUGAGUUGUCAAGAACAUUUUAAAUUGUUGACUUUAUUUGAUUCCAAAUUUUAUUUUGUACAGUAUGUUUAUAGCAAUCUAUGUUAUUGUUUUUAUAUUAUUCAAGCCUUAGAAUAAAGAUGACUUGAAUGCCUGGAAAUUGACUGACUGAGUUGUGUGUACUAAGAAUAUAGUAUGGUUUGGUAAGAUUUGAGUUAAUAGUAUCUAACUAAAUCGAGGUAAUCUGUUUCCAAAAAUGGUUUGAGUAAGAAUUUGAGUUUCAUUGAAAUUAAUAUUUUGAGUUGGUACGACUAUUGCACUACUGAAGUUGAGUACAGAUAAAGCAUAGCAAUUAAAUAUGCAGCAAUUAAAUGUAUUAAAUUAUUUAAACAAUAUUUUUAAGUGAAGUACAGUUAAAAAAAAUAUGUUUGCAUAAAACCAUUAGGUUAAGUACAAGUAAUUCAAAAUAAUUAAGUGUGACCUUACUUUUUAAGUUUAAGAGUUUAACAAUUUUUUUUUUUUUAGGUAAUCGAUUUCCCCCCAAAAAAUUACUAUAGUGCACACUGUAAUGGGUGUUAUAGUGUGCACUAUAGUAACUGAUUGUUCUACAGCUGUGUUCUACAGCUGACGAAUAGCCUAUCUGUUUGUGAGGAACCAGUAAGAAUGAACCAGUAGUGUGAGUAAGAGGAUAUGAUGUAUUGUUAUAAUAACGAUUUCAUUAACAUUUGUCAAUGAUGUUCAUUCCAUGGAAAACCAUUAUAAUAGUAAUGGUUGUCCCAGUCUUAACAAGCGACGGAUAACCACACUAAUUAAAACCUUCCCUCUGAAAGAUUAGUCAGUGUCAUAUGACAGGUAAGGACUUGAUGGAUGACGGCAAAAACACGAACAACUGGGAUGUUCCUUCAUUUAACGUCCAGGCAGAUGUUAGGAAAACCCCAUCUCAUUUCCGUCAUGGAGGCAUGGAUGUCUUUCACAACAUCAUACUAUGGAACUCUGACUCUGUUCACCAUCCAGCCCCUCUCCUUCAGUACAUUACUCACAUCCCAUUUCUAUGUUUCAACCCCUCAUAUAAAGGAUCCCCCUGGCCUUAAAUGAAGACCAUUGAUUGCAAGCACCCCUUAGCUAUCUGAGCGCCACUGCCUGCGACAAAGAAAGACGCUUCUCUUAUUUCAUAGAGUAAAUCAGGUGGCUACUUCUACCUGCAGUACAGAGACAGAGUAGCCUGAAGGCUAACAACUUCACAGAGCAAAUGGCGGGUUUGGAGCUGGUGGUGUGUGUGUGUGUGUUGGUGUGUUUGCGAGGGAUCUGUGCAGCCCCAGUUCUGUGCAGCCUCAAAUCGGCAGAACAUGCUCAGAAUGAAAAGGAAUUGCUGGUGGAACGGCUGAGUGAUGAGGUCAACCUCAUGCAGAAGGAGAACGCUGACCUCUCACCUUUGGAGACGAACUUGAUAUUGCCCCAGGAACAAUCUGGAAAAAGAAGAGAGACAUGGUGCCUACUAGAGCAAAUAGAUUGUAAUCACCACAACAUGCCUGAAGUUGUCCGCAAGCAUGCCCAAUCAUUGAGACAGUCUUUGAAAAUAGCGGCUGUGCCUGACUCCGGCCCGUGUCCGUCUCCGUGCCAUGUCGACCUCGACCCCUGGAACAGUCUGAGGUGGAAGAUGGGUCGUCUUCCUCACUGGAUGAAGAUUCUUAACAGUCUAAAUCUCGACUGCACCUCAUAGAACAGAUUAGACAUUUAUUUAUCAGGUAACGGCUUAUUCUACAGCCCUGUGUCAGCUUGUAUUUCUAUGGUAUUUAAAAUAGAUAUUUAGUAAAUACCAGUCAAUCUGAAUCAGGGUUGUAACAUAAACUGAAUAUGGAAACUAUCAAUUGUGCAUUUAUUUAAUUAUAUUGUUUGUUAUACAGAGGUAGGAUCUUAAUUUGACCAGUCGUAACAAAAGAAUCCUGCAGCAACAGGAUUUGAACAUUUAGUACAUAAUGUUGCCUGGUCAGUAGUUAGGCUAGUUGGACAAAAGUAGGCUACAUGAAAAGAGAAAUACUGUUAAUAUAAGUUAUAUUAACAGUAUUGCACUUUUCAUGAAGCCUACUUUGUCCAACUAAUAGCAAAUGAGCUUUGUGAUUGACAUAAAUUCACUGAAAACCUGCACUAACAAUAUAAUCAUGUGUUUUACCCGUUAUUGCUUAAUUAACAAGCCUGGCAGAGUUGUCUUGUCAAGAUACAAAUAUCCUGUUGGUGGGAUAUUAUGCGCCAACAGACACACACACACACACACACACACACACACACACACACACACACACACACACACACACACACACACACACACACACACACACACACACACACACACACACAAGAAGUCUGAGUUUUGUUCUCUACCCUCUUUGGACGAAUAUGCAGGCUAUGCUGCUGAGACAAGUUUAUUUAAAGAAAAAUGUAAUGUUGACAGCUCAGAAAAAGCCCAAUUCUAUCAAUACUUUUAAACAGACGUUAGAUGGGGUAGAUGUUCACUUUCAUUUAUUUAUAUUUUUGUGUUUCUCCUUUUAACCAUGUUUUUAUUAUCUUAUGUACUGUAAGCUGCACUGUAAUUCAGUUUUCUUUACUGUAAACUGCCAAAGUACAGCAUUAUUUAUAAAUGGAUUUAUUGUUAAAUCAAAUCAAAUAAAACUUUAUUUGUCACAUGCGGCGAA